rnacentral:rRNA from 1 species
UACGUAGGGUGCAAGCGUUAAUCGGAAUUACUGGGCGUAAAGGGCGCGUAGGCGGCCCGCUAAGUCGAACGUGAAAUCCCCGAGCUCAACUCGGGAACUGCGUCCGAUACUGGUGGGCUUGAAUCCGGGAGAGGGAUGCGGAAUUCCAGGUGUAGCGGUGAAAUGCGUAGAUAUCUGGAGGAACACCGGUGGCGAAGGCGGCAUCCUGGACCGGCAUUGACGCUGAGGCGCGAAAGCUAGGGGAGCAAACGGG